rnacentral:rRNA from 1 species
CAGCAGCCGCGGUAAUACGGGGGGUGCAAGCGUUGUUCGGAAUUAUUGGGCGUAAAGAGCGUGUAGGCUGUUUGUUAAGUCUGUUGUGAAAGCCCUGGGCUCAACCCAGGAAGUGCACUGGAUACUGGCAGACUUGAAUACGGGAGAGGGUAGUGGAAUUCCUAGUGUAGGAGUGAAAUCCGUAGAUAUUAGGAGGAACACCGGUGGCGAAGGCGGCUACCUGGACCGAUAUUGACGCUGAGACGCGAAAGCGUGGGUAGCGAACAGGAUUAGAUACCCUGGUAGUCCACGCCGUAAACGAUGAGAACUAGGUGUUGCGGGUAUUGACCCCUGCAGUGCCGCAGCUAACGCAUUAAGUUCUCCGCCUGGGAAGUACGGUCGCAAGACUAAAACUCAAAGGAAUUGACGG